UCAUGAUCUCACGGUUCGUGGGUUCACGCCCCACGCCAGAUUCUGUGCUGACCGCUCGGAGCCUGGAGCCUGCUUCGGAUUCUGCGUCUCCCUCUCUCUCUGCCCCUCUCCUGCUCACUCUCUCUCUCUCCCCAAAAUAAAUAAACAUUAAAACUUUUACAAAGCAGCGAGCCUUUUUAAACAGCAACGUUUUUCCCUCUCUUCACACACUUGGGGUGGCGCGCCAGGGCAGAGCUCUCAUCUGGUGUGGCAGCAAGGGGCUGCCACAGUGUGUGACUUCGUUUGCUGAGGAGAGAUGGACACCUGGAACCAUGCCAUGCAGCGACCUAAGGGGAAGACAGCACAGAGCCCUGUGGCAGAAGGUAGUCUGGGAAAACUGGAAGAAAAGAAAAUGCCAGAAAGUUACGGUAAAACUUAAGAUGCGGCCGAAGUCGCUUUCUUUGCCCCUGCUGUGAGUGUUUGAAUAAGAAGAAUGCUCCCGGACUGUAACAAGCAAAAAGAAUGAAGAAGACAAAAGAUUUCCAGAAAAAGGUUUAGCUAGAAGACAAGGCAAGUGAAACUGAAAGGAGAAAAAAAGCAUUUACAAUGGAACAAUAAGUGUACUAAUCGCUUUGAUAUAUUAUACAAGCCCAAAGACCCAAAACAUUGUGUAAUUAUUUAUAAAUGACUUCUCCACUCCUGUGUAUAAUGCAGAGGAAAGAAUAAAACUGCAGGCUACUCUCUAAACUAUUUCUAA
rnacentral:lncRNA from 1 species